rfam:Rattus norvegicus chromosome 7, whole genome shotgun sequence.
GGGGAUUUAGUUCAGUGGUAGAGCACUUGCCUAGCAAGCACAAGGCCCUGGGUUCGGUCCCCAGCUCCG